UGCUGUUCUGCCCGACUUACGAAGGGCCGUAUUUAUUAGAUAUCAGCCAAUAAGCAUCCGCUAUUGUGGUGACUCAUAGUAACUUAAUCGGAUCGCAUGGGCUCGUCCCGCGACAAACCAUUCAAGUUUCUGCCCCAUCAUGCUUUCGAUGGUAGUGUAUUGGACUACCAUGGCUUUCACGGGUAACGGAGGAUUAGGGUUCGAUUCCGGAGAGGGAGCCUGAGAAACGGCUACCACUUCCACGGAAGGCAGCAGGCGCGUAAAUUACCCAAUCCUAAUUCAGGGAGGUAGUGACAAGAAAUAACCGGGGCCGGG
rnacentral:rRNA from 1 species